rnacentral:rRNA from 1 species
UACGUAGGUGGCAAGCGUUGUCCGGAAUUAUUGGGCGUAAAGCGCGCGCAGGCGGUCCUUUAAGUCUGAUGUGAAAGCCCACGGCUCAACCGUGGAGGGUCAUUGGAAACUGGGGGGACUUGAGUGCAGAAGAGGAGAGUGGAAUUCCACGUGUAGCGGUGAAAUGCGUAGAGAUGUGGAGGAACACCAGUGGCGAAGGCGACUCUCUGGUCUGUAACUGACGCUGAGGCGCGAAAGCGUGGGGAGCAAACAGG